rnacentral:rRNA from 1 species
AUGGAUAUACACCCGCAGGUGUUGUGCUGAAAUGUGAGGGGCCUCAACAAUCCAGCCAAGAGGAAGGCCGUUCGGGAAUUUAUGGAAACGGUGAAAGUUAACUUGGUUUGUUUCCAAGAAACUAAAAUGGAUAUAAUGGACCAAUAUGUUGUAAUACAAUGCUUGGGGCUGUCGUUUGAUGGCUUUGCCUAUGUGCUGGCGGUGGACACUUGUGGAGGUAUACUUUUGGCUUGGGAUAGC